GGAUCCCUAGUGUAAUGGUUAACACAUCUGCUUCGUAAGCAGAAGGUCCUGGGUUCACGCCCUAGGUGGAUCCA
rnacentral:tRNA from 1 species